CAAGGGAGGCACUGGUAGAGUAAUUUUAGUAAAGUAUCCAUUAUCUGUUUAUUAAUUUUUGUUGCUAGGUGAAUGAUUGUGAUAUUAACUCCUAAUAGCUAGAGAAAGAAAGAGUGGAUGAGACUUUGAUAUUGUGAAUAUUAAAAUUAUGUUAAUAAGAAAUUAAUAGGUUGUGCAUGCAUUUAUUUUAUCACCGUAUAUUUUGGUCAAUCAUG
rnacentral:misc_RNA from 1 species